rnacentral:rRNA from 1 species
UAUCAAUAAGCGGAGGAAAAGAAACCAACAGGGAUUGCCCCAGUAACGGCGAGUGAAGCGGCAACAGCUCAAAUUUGAAAUCUGGCCCCCAGGGUCCGAGUUGUAAUUUGUAGAGGAUGCUUUUGGCGAGGUGCCUUCCGAGUUCCCUGGAACGGGACGCCACAGAGGGUGAGAGCCCCGUCUGGUCGGCCACCGAGCCUCUGUAAAGCUCCUUCGACGAGUCGAGUAGUUUGGGAAUGCUGCUCAAAAUGGGAGGUAUAUGUCUUCUAAAGCUAAAUAUUGGCCAGAGACCGAUAGCGCACAAGUAGAGUGAUCGAAAGAUGAAAAGCACUUUGAAAAGAGGGUUAAAAAGUACGUGAAAUUGUUGAAAGGGAAGCGCCUAUGACCAGACUUGGGCCCGGUGAAUCAUCCAGCGUUCUCGCUGGUGCACUUCGCCGGGCACAGGCCAGCAUCAGCUUGGCGCGGGGGAAAAAGGCUCUGGGAAUGUGGCUCCCCCGGGAGUGUUAUAGCCCACCGCGUAAUACCCUGCGCCGGACUGAGGUACGCGCAUUCGCAAGGAUGCUGGCGUAAUGGUCAUCAGCGACCCGUCUUGAAACACGGACCAAGGAGUCGUCUUCGUAUGCGAGUGUUCGGGUGUCAAACCCCUACGCGUAAUGAAAGUGAACGUAGGUGAGAGCUUCGGCGCAUCAUCGACCGAUCCUGAUGUUCUCGGAUGGAUUUGAGUAAGAGCAUACGGGGCCGGACCCGAAAGAAGGUGAACUAUGCCUGUAUAGGGUGAAGCCAGAGGAAACUCUGGUGGAGGCUCGCAGCGGUUCUGACGUGCGAAUCGAUCGUCAAAUAUGGGCAUGGGGGCGAAAGACUAAUCGAACCUUCUAGUAGCUGGUUUC